rnacentral:rRNA from 1 species
AACGAACGCUGGCGGCAUGCCUAACACACGCAAGUCGAACGAAGUCUUCGGACUUAGUGGCGCACGGGUGCGUAACGCGUGGGAAUCUGCCCUUGGGUGCGGAAUAACUUCUCGAAAGGGAUGCUAAUACCGCAUAAUGUCGUAAGACCAAAGAUUUAUCGCCCAAGGAUGAGCCCGCGUAAGAUUAGCUAGUUGGUGGGGUAAAAGCCUACCAAGGCGACGAUCUUUAGCUGGUCUGAGAGGAUGAUCAGCCACACUGGGACUGAGACACGGCCCAGACUCCUACGGGAGGCAGCAGUGGGGAAUAUUGGACAAUGGGCGAAAGCCUGAUCCAGCAAUGCCGCGUGAGUGAUGAAGGCCCUAGGUUGUAAAGCUCUUUACCAGGGAUGAUAAUGACAGUACCUGGAGAAUAAGCUCCGGCUAA